CAGGGGGCAGCGCGGGCGCGGCGCUGGGCCGGGCCCUGCACAGAGCCAGCCGGAGAAAUCCCGCUCCGGGAAUGCGGGCCGGCUCCGAGCCGCGAUCCCCGCCGGAGCUGCCUCGCAUCCCGCUCGGAAGCGGGCAUGCCUCGGCAACAGCCCGUGGCUGGCGGAAUUCCGGAAAAGUUUCCUGAAGCACUGCUGAAAUUCUUUUUUUCAUCCUAUCUCCAGCUCUCACCGUGUCCCAUAGGCAAAUCAAGAAAAAGCUUUGCCAGGCUCAUUUCACAGAUGCUCUCCCAUUUUUUUAUUGCAAGAAUUAAAGACAAAACUGCUCACUCUUCCCUUAAUCAUUUACUGUUUUCUGCAGCUGUUACACUGCCUCCAGCUCUGCGCUCCUACUGCCAAGACCUCCAUGUGGGAAACUCACAGCGAUGCUUCCCUCAUUCGCACGGUUUGCCUUCAGCCUUGACCCGCAGGAGGAGCAGGGCCCGGCGCAGAGCCCGCAGAGGCAGAGCUGCGUGUGGCGCAGGGAUUGUCCCCGCAGAAGGAAGGGCACGGCAGNNNNNNNNNNNNNNNNNNNNNNNNNNNNNNNNNNNNNNNNNNNNNNNNNNNNNNNNNNNNNNNNNNNNNNNNNNNGCGGUCGAGCAGGGGGAGAUGAUCCUGUUUUAAAGCAGGAGAGGAUGUUUUUCGUCCUGUACAAAUCGUGCCUGAGGAUACAUGGCAAAACCAUGUUGCCCACCCUCCCCCGCUUCCUCAGACGCCAUUCGUGAGGUGUCUUCUCCUGCGUAAUUAGGUUAAGUAGCUCUUGCAGAAUGAGUUAAGAGCAGAUACAGAGCUGGAGCAUGGAGACACCUAAGGUUGGUUAAGGUUAUUAGGCUCCAGCAGCAUUGCUGCAGGAGAAAUGCUUCCUUCAUAUUUUUUGCAAGCAAAUCAUUGUGGAUUGCCUUUAAAGACAGAAAAUUUUGUGUUAGAGGAGCGAGAAAGCUGCUUUCAGGAAUCAGCAGACUCUUUGUUGCUCAGAGGAGAGAGUGAUGUUUCCCCGCAGGUCUGUGUUCUGGCUCUCCUGCCUAAUACAGUUCCUUGCCUUUAAUUUAUGUGCUUGCAAAUGUGCCUUACUGCAGCUUCAAAACAAAAAUCUCUUUACAGUGUGUAUGUAUAUGUGCACAAACAUGCAUUCACUUCAGUGACACAUUGCCUGCUUCUAGUGCAUAUAUAUGGAAGAGUUCCAAAAGACAGGCAUUCCUCUCUUUGGAAAAGACCUCCUGAAAGCUUGUUUUAGAUGAUACUGAUCUCAGUUUUUUAAUUGUGGAAGUGAUGAUGAGCUCUGAGCAGAAAGUGCUGCUAGUGUGGCACUGGCUGGGUUGCCAGGAUGUAAAUUCUGCACUAUCAUGGUGCUUGUUGGCAGCUGAACAGGGCAACUCUAAAUACAGCAUUGAGCAGAUCAGGCUCCAGAAGCAAGGUCCCUGGUGAUUUCUUCCACUUGUAGUAGAAUGAACAUUUUGCCUUUCUGCAGAAACCCCCUUCAGGCUCUGUCUCACAUGUCUGAGUGAGAAUGUGAUUCCCAGCUGCAGCCAGUGCAGUGUGAGAGAAAGCACUACAGAACUGCACACCCAGAAUAAACCUGUGUCCAAUGAUUUCA
ensembl:lncRNA